rnacentral:rRNA from 1 species
GACGAACGCUGGCUGCGUGCUUAACACAUGCAAGUCGAACGCUGAAGCCUGGUGCUUGCACCGGGUGGAUGAGUGGCGAACGGGUGAGUAACACGUGAGUAACCUGCCCCUGACUUCGGGAUAAGCCCGGGAAACUGGGUCUAAUACCGGAUACGACUGCCGGACGCAUGUCUGGUGGUGGAAAGUUUUUUCGGUUGGGGAUGGGCUCGCGGCCUAUCAGUUUGUUGGUGAGGUAAUGGCUCACCAAGACGACGACGGGUAGCCGGCCUGAGAGGGCGACCGGCCACACUGGGACUGAGACACGGCCCAGACUCCUACGGGAGGCAGCAGUGGGGAAUAUUGCACAAUGGGGGAAACCCUGAUGCAGCGACGCAGCGUGCGGGAUGACGGCCUUCGGGUUGUAAACCGCUUUCAGCAGGGAAGAAGCGCAAGUGACGGUACCUGCAGAAGA